UACGUAGGGGGCAAGCGUUGUCCGGAUUUAUUGGGCGUAAAGAGCGUGUAGGCGGCUUUACAGGUCCGUUGUGAAAACUCGAGGCUCAACCUCGAGACGCCGGUGGAAACCGUAAAGCUAGAGUCCGGAAGAGGAGAGUGGAAUUCCUGGUGUAGCGGUGAAAUGCGCAGAUAUCAGGAGGAACACCCGUGGCGAAAGCGGGUCUCUGGGCCGAUACUGACGCUGAGGAGCGAAAGCGUGGGGAGCGAACAGG
rnacentral:rRNA from 1 species